ACGGUCACGUUACAAAAUUAGCUCUUUAAUUAUUUUUAUAAUUAUUUUCCUUCGCUCUCCCAUUUAAAUUCUCUAAUUCCUCGUAUAGGACCACUGACGUGACGUCAUACCUCGGUGAUGGAACAUACUCCACCUAUCGAGAAUUAUUUCGCGUUCGGUGAGUUUGACGUCGUACUCUUGGAAGGAGAGACGAAUGUUCAUCACUUGACCUGUGGCUGUAGGUGAAGUUGGUUGCUACCAUAGAAUAUUAGAAUGGCGGUUGGUUUUUUAUUUUAUAACAUCAGUGAAAAGAAAAAAAUUACCACAAAUGGUUUUCUACAGUAGGGUGGCAUGUGGGUAGAACAACCCCUCUUGGAAUCGGAAUAGAAAUCACCGCCAUUUUGGAGUAACCACAUGGUGAACUCAUAGCCCUUUGACACCUAGGGAAACCACUACAGCCACAGUCAAGUCAUCAUGGGAAUACGUCUUUUUGGGAACAAGCUAUGGGAGCGUUCCAGCUCAAUUUUCGUCUUGGCACCUGGGCCUACAUGAGUCAUGGGGUCGCACCAUCCUGGUGCAUCAUUUUCUAGGAUGCAACCGCAACCUCGUUUGGGAACAUUUAGUGAGGUGUUUUAGUAACUAUUGGUUUUUUUUAUAUUUCAGACUAUCUGUUAAAUACACUAUGUUUUUUUUCCAGAUUUAGGUUACCUCUGGUUUUUUUUAAUAUGACAUAUUUGUAUAUUAGAUUAUUUGGUUCCCAAACUUUGUAUCUACGGUAACUUCUUGUGCACAGGAAUAAGCCUAGAGAAAAUUAGGUUUUUAAUACUUUACUAUUGCUUUGAUAUUGGUUUAUGUAAUUCGGGUAAAUUUAUUUUUUAAUAUUACUAGCUUGUUUCCCAAAUAAUUUACUGUUAUUCGCUUUAUUCCAUUUGUUCGGUUAAUUUAGGUCAUCGUCGGUAUUUAUCUCAACUUCAUUUCUACUUUAGUCAAUUGUAUAUUUAACUUUAUUUAUUCAUUAUUGUAUUUUCCCUUAGUGAGGCUUGGGCCUAUUUAUUUGUAGUAUUUUCAUCUUUGUCAGUUUCCUUUAGUUGUACGUAGCAGGCGUACUAUAACCAUUUGGUAGAAGACUUAUGUAAUUUUGUACACUAUAUGUAAGUAAGAGGUACUAAUACCUGUAAUUUUGUAACAGAUAACAUUAUUGUUGUUAUCUUAGAGAUGACUUUUUGUAUAACUUAUGUCAUUUUAGAGUCACAUGAUAUACACUUUGUGUAACUCAGAGAUUGUCAAAAAUCUAGUAGUUAUUUUUAAUAAAUAUGUAUUUAUUUUGUA
rnacentral:lncRNA from 1 species